GACGAACGCUGUUCGGCGUGCUUAACACAUGCAAGUCGAACGGAAAGGCCCUGCUUUUGUGGGGUGCUCGAGUGGCGAACGGGUGAGUAACACGUGAGUAACCUGCCCUUGACUUUGGGAUAACUUCAGGAAACUGGGGCUAAUACCGGAUAGGAGCUCCUGCUGCAUGGUGGGGGUUGGAAAGUUUCGGCGGUUGGGGAUGGACUCGCGGCUUAUCAGCUUGUUGGUGGGGUAGUGGCUUACCAAGGCUUUGACGGGUAGCCGGCCUGAGAGGGUGACCGGCCACAUUGGGACUGAGAUACGGCCCAGACUCCUACGGGAGGCAGCAGUGGGGAAUAUUGCACAAUGGGCGGAAGCCUGAUGCAGCAACGCCGCGUGCGGGAUGACGGCCUUCGGGUUGUAAACCGCUUUCGCCUGUGACGAGGCGUGAGUGACGGUAAUGGGUAAAGAAGCACCGGCUAACUACGUGCCAGCAGCCGCGGUGAUACGUAGGGUGCGAGCGUUGUCCGGAUUUAUUGGGCGUAAAGGGCUCGUAGGUGGUUGAUCGCGUCGGAAGUGUAAUCUUGGGGCUUAACCCUGAGCGUGCUUUCGAUACGGGUUGACUUGAGGAAGGUAGGGGAGAAUGGAAUUCCUGGUGGAGCGGUGGAAUGCGCAGAUAUCAGGAGGAACACCAGUGGCGAAGGCGGUUCUCUGGGCCUUUCCUGACGCUGAGGAGCGAAAGCGUGGGGAGCGAACAGGCUUAGAUACCCUGGUAGUCCACGCUGUAAACGGUGGGUACUAGGUGUGGGGUCCAUUCCACGGGUUCCGUGCCGUAGCUAACGCUUUAAGUACCCCGCCUGGGGAGUACGGCCGCAAGGCUAAAACUCAAAGGAAUUGACGGGGCCCCGCACAAGCGGCGGAGCAUGCGGAUUAAUUCGAUGCAACGCGUAGAACCUUACCUGGGUUUGACAUGGAUCGGGAGUGCUCAGAGAUGGGUGUGCCUCUUUUGGGGUCGGUUCACAGGUGGUGCAUGGCUGUCGUCAGCUCGUGUCGUGAGAUGUUGGGUUAAGUCCCGCAACGAGCGCAACCCUUGUUCACUGUUGCCAGCACGUUAUGGUGGGGACUCAGUGGAGACCGCCGGGGUCAACUCGGAGGAAGGUGGGGAUGACGUCAAGUCAUCAUGCCCCUUAUGUCCAGGGCUUCACGCAUGCUACAAUGGCUGGUACAGAGAGUGGCGAGCCUGUGAGGGUGAGCGAAUCUCGGAAAGCCGGUCUCAGUUCGGAUUGGGGUCUGCAACUCGACCUCAUGAAGUCGGAGUCGCUAGUAAUCGCAGAUCAGCAACGCUGCGGUGAAUACGUUCCCGGG
rnacentral:rRNA from 1 species